AACGCACCUUGCGCUCCUUGGUAUUCCGAGGAGCAUGCCUGUUUGAGUGUCAUUAAAUUCUCAACCCCUCCAGCUUUUGCGAGUUGUGAUGGGGCUUGGAUCUGGGAGUUUGCGGGUCUUUAUCAAUAAAGGUCAGCUCUCCUGAAAUGCAUUAGCGGAACCGUUUGCAGUCCCGUCACUAGUGUGAUAAUUAUCUACACUGUGAUGAUUGCUCUCUGACUAGUUCAGCUGCUAAUCGUCCAUCAUGGACAACACUUAAUGAACUUCUUGACCUCAAAUCAGGUAGGACUACCCGCUGAACUUAA
rnacentral:misc_RNA from 1 species